CUCUCUCUCAAAAAUGAAUAAACUUAAAAAAAAAAAAAAGAAUUUCAAGAUGGUGACAGGGCACAUUAAGCCAAGUGCGGGCCCUUCUGGGUACAGACCCAUGAACUGCACAAGCCACAUACCCACAAAGUUGGUCCGGCCCCCAGUGUUCAUGUGCAGACCUGCCUCUUGUUAAGGUCUAUGGCCGAGUGAAGGCUGUUGGAGUCUGCGCUCCUGGGACUUGGUCAGAUCCAAAGAUGGCUCUGACCUUUCUUGCCUCUGGGAGGGGUGCUAUGCCCCAUCCCCCACCAGGGCCCAGGAGGUUAGCCCUACAGCCCUUUGAUAUGGAGCCCGCAAGUCUCUGCCCAAAGGUCCCAACUCCAAAUCAAGCCAGAAGCCCACACACCUCCUCGCUCUCCCAGGAAUGUGGGUACUUCCGGUCCUGCCCACCUCACAUGGAAACAAGGGCACUUGGAGGAAGUGGACUGACUCAGGGCUUCCCUCUUCCUACCAGGUGGGGAAGGCAGGCUGAGAGGCCACCUGCCCCCGCCCCCACCCAGACUCCUAAAAAGGAGGUGUAACAGAGGCCCCUAUGUAAUGCCUCACCCAUGGGCACCCCCUGCCUGGGGAGAGGUGUUUAUGAUACAGGCUCAGUGUCCCUGUCUCCAUGUCCCUCUUACUGCACGAGCCGCUGGGCUCAAAGAGACAGAUCCCCUCCAAUUCAGUGCUUCUUGAGCUACUAAAGGGGGAACUAAAGUAAUUUCAAGAACCUUUACUUCUCUUGACCAAACCUGGCUUCCUAAUCUGGCUGCAUACUUAAAAAUCCUAUUUUGUGCAUCAAAACUGAUAUUAGCUUUCCUCCUUUUUGUGAGUCCUCUACCCCUGUCUCCCAGGAAACUGAAAUGGCUUUGUGUUCUCAUGGCUGGAUCUGGAGCCCUGGCAGAACAGUUUCACAAGGACAAGUGCCAAAGGACAGAGGGCAUGGCCCCGUGGCUCACUCAUAGCAGGAAGAUCCACCCUGCCUGGGUGAGGUCCCUGUGCUAGGGUGCCAAGGGUGGGAGAUGCAGAGAUCCCCCCUUUCAGAUGAAAUCUCAAGGAGGAACAAAUGUGAAUUUAGCAAAGGAACCAAACAAAGCAUUUUCUGGCUGAAUCCAACCACUAAAAGAACAGAAGGAAGACUGGACACUGGGAAUGAGGGAGUGAGAAGCGCUGCUCCCGGGAGCCGGCUUAGCCCAGAGCUGAAGAAAUCAUCCACGACUCAGGAAUCACCGGCCUCCCCGCCCCCCAGCAUCUCCUGCCUCCUAAAGGGAUGGCCCGAAUCCCCCAAAAGUUAUGAAAAUGAUGCUCAUGUAGAAGAGGCCGCGUCGAGGGACACAGGGAAGACAGCUACCUACAAGCCAAGGAAAGAGGUCUGGGACAGAUUUGCUCUCACACCCUCAGAAUGAACCAACCUGCCCACACGUAGAUCUUGGACUCCUGGCCCCCAGAAGCCCUGAGAUGAUAAACCCAUGUCGUUUAACUGCUUUGGUACAGCAAUUCCAGCGACCAAGUCACAGAGGUCUGAAUGAAAGGGCACGGUGUGGAGGACUGCAGAAAGUUUGCAGCCAAGCAGGGAGCAGGAGUGGUGCACAUGAGGCUCAGGACAAGGGGGAUCAGGGAGCCACGUUCAGGAGGUUAGGGUUUGUCUCGCGUCCAUGGUGAGGCACGCAGGCCUUCUAGCCAACGCAGAAGGUGGUCAGUGUGGGCUUGAGGAAACCCACUCUGGCUGCAGAGACGAGGAAGCUGCCACGGACACCUAAGCAAGGGAUGGAGUUCAAAGGCAAGGGAAUGGCAGGAAGAGGGCCGCUCCGGGAGUGUGCGGCAUCCUAGUCAACAGGACUCCCAGGGGCCAGCACGGGGUGAGACAUGUAUCAGGCCGUGCAGGGCCGCCGUAAGGGAGCACCACACGCCGGGCGGCAGAAACUGCAGGCAUGUAUUCUUUCACAGUCUGGAAGCUAGAAGUCCAAGAUCAGGGUGUCUGCUGGGUUGGUGGGUCCUGGGGCCCCCCUCCUUGGCUUGUCUCCAUGGACAUCUCCUCACAUGGUUGUCCCUAUGUGUGUGUCUGUGUCUUAAUCUCCUCUUCUUAAAAUCUUUUUUUUAAUGUUAAUCUUUUUUUUGAGAGAGAGAGAAAGCAGG